UACAGAGGUCCCAAGCGUUGUUCGGAUUCAUUGGGCGUAAAGGGUGCGUAGGUGGCGCCGUAAGUCGGGUGUGAAAUCUCGGAGCUUAACUUCGAAACUGCAUUCGAUACUGCCGUGCUUGAGGACUGGAGAGGAGACUGGAAUUUACGGUGUAGCGGUGAAAUGCGUAGAUAUCGUAAGGAAGACCAGUGGCGAAGGCGGGUCUCUGGACAGUUCCUGACGCUGAGGCACGAAGGCCAGGGGAGCAAACGGG
rnacentral:rRNA from 1 species